rnacentral:rRNA from 1 species
CCUACGGGUGACAGCAGUGAGGAAUAUUGGUCAAUGGACGAGAGUCUGAACCAGCCAAGUAGCGUGAAGGAUGACUGCCCUCUGGGUUGUAAACUUCUUUUAUAAAGGAAUAAAACGAGGCACGUGUGCCUUUUUGCAUGUACUUUAUGAAUAAGGAUCGGCUCACUCCGGGCCAGCAGCCGCGGUAAUACGGAGGAUCCGAGCGUUAUCCGGAUUUAUUGGGUUUAAAGGGAGCGUAGAUGGGUUGUUAAGUCAGUUGUGAAAGUUUGCGGCUCAACCGUAAAAUUGCAAUUGAUACUGGGAGUCUUGAGUACAGUUGAGGUAGGCGGAAUUCGGGGUGUAGCGGUGAAAUGCGUAGAUAUAACGAAGAACACCGAUUGCGAAGGCAGCUUACUAAACUGUGACUGACAUUGAUGCUCGAAAGUGUGGGUAUCAAACAGGAUUAGAUACCCGAGUAGUC